UGCUUUUGAAGAAGGGCUUUUGGAAGAACAAGAUACAGGACUGACAAGAGUAAAACGAGGCUGCCGCAGAAUAUGUAUACUUCAAUGUCUUGUUAGUAAGAAAGGCGUAGCAAUUUGCAAAAGAACUUGUGUUUGCCGAUAAUUAAUUUUCAAUAGUGUAUUAUUUAUUUGUUGUUAUGUUGCUUUAAUAGUUUUUAAUUAUAUUAUCUAAAUGAA